rnacentral:rRNA from 1 species
UACCAGCUCUCCGAGUGGUAGGGAUGAUUAUUGGGCUUAAAGCGUCCGUAGCCGGCUUAGCAAGUUUCCUGUUAAACCCAGCGACUCAAUCGUUGGAUCGCGGGAAAUACUACUAGGCUAGGAGGCGGGAGAGGUCAACGGUACUUCUGGGGUAGGGGUGAAAUCCUAUAAUCCCGGGAGGACCGCCAGUGGCGAAGGCUGUUGACUAGAACGCGCUCGACGGUGAGGGACGAAAGCUGGGGUAGCAAACCGGAUUAGAUACCCGGGUAGUCCCAGCUGUAAACGAUGCGAGCUAGGUGUUGGGAUGGCUACGGGCCAUUUCAGUGCCGCAGGGAAGCCAUUAAGCUCGCCGCCUGGGGAGUACGGCCGCAAGGCUGAAACUUAAAGGAAUUGGCGGGGGAGCACCACAAGGCGUGAAGCUUGCGGUUC